GCCAGGGUGGACCGGAGACUGGGGCUGGAGACCAGGAGCCUGCAGCACCGGACCAGAGGACCAGGAAUCCAUGGCUGAAGGAGCUGAUGGAGGUGCCGUGCUGAAGGAGAUGAUGGAGGUGCCGUGCUGAAAGAGCUGAUGGAGGAGCCGUGCUGAAGGCCCUGGGCUGGUGGAGGAGCUGGUGGAGGCCCUGCCUGGUGAAGGACGUCUGUCGUGGGACCAGGACUUUGUCUGAGGAGAGCUGAUGGAGGAGCUGAGACGCUGGACGACAACUAGGAAUUGACCAACCAGGAUUCCUCAUA